GGUUGUACCAUGAUCAUUACAACUCACAAUUGACUAUUGAACAAAAUAUUGAAGGCCGCCCACUGGGAAUUAUUGCGAAUCACUGGAGAUGGUACCUUGAUUAUCGCAACAGUGAAGACACAAAAAAAAAGUGUAGGAAAAAUGCUGUGAAUUAAUCGAAGCAGCUAUACACUCACACUGGCAGAUUGAAAAGCUUGGCAAGGCUUGGAGAAGAAGAGUCGGAAUGACAAGGGAGGAGAGUUUGUAGAGGAGAGUUAUGGACCUUAACGAAAAAAUGACCUAAUGGUUCCUAUAUCCAUUAUGUAGCUCGGGCUAUUGGUGUAAAU